rnacentral:lncRNA from 1 species
CCCAGUGACUCGGGAGGCUGAGGCAUGAGGAUUGAGAGUUCAAACCCAGACUCAGCAAUUUAGCAAGGCCCUAAACAACUCAGGAACACCCUGUCUCUAAUAAAACAUAAAAAAAGGGCUGGGGAUGUGGCUCAGUGGUUAAGUGCCCCUGGGUUCAAUCUCUGAUACCAAAAAAAAAAAAAAAAAUGGAAUCCGAGAGUCCAAUGCGGGAAGACUGC